GUGAGUCAUCGAAUCUUUGAACGCAUAUUGCGCUCUUUGGUAUUCCGAAGAGCAUGCUUGUUUGAGUAUCAGUAAACACCUCAAAGCUUUUGAUUUCUUUUUGAAAGCUUUGGACUUGAGCAAUCCCAACACCAAUCUUUUUCAGAUCGGCGGCGGGUUGCUUGAAAUGCAGGUGCAGCUGGACAUUCUCCUGAGCUAAAAGCAUAUUCAUUUAGUCCCGUCAAACGGAUUAUUACUUUUGCUGCAGCUAACAUAAAGGGAGUUUGACCGUAUUGGCUGACUGAUGCAGGAUUUUACAAGGGUCGGCAACGAUUCUUGUUAAACUCGAUCUCAAAUCAAGUAAGACUACCCGCUGAACUUAAGCAUAUCAAUAAGCGGAGGA
rnacentral:misc_RNA from 1 species